GAUGAACGCUGGCGGCGUGCCUAAUACAUGCAAGUCGAGCGAACGGACGAGAAGCUUUCUUCUCUGAUGUUAGCGGCGGACGGGUGAGUAACACGUGGAUAACCUACCUAUUAUACUGGGAUAACUUCGGGAAACCGGAGCUAAUACCGGAUGAUAUUUUGAACCGCACGGUUCAAAAGUGAAAGACGGUCUUGCUGUCACUUAUAGAUGGAUCCGCGCUGCAUUAGCUAGUUGGUAAGGUAACGGCUUACCAAGGAAACGAUGCAUAGCCGACCUGAGAGGGUGAUCGGCCACACUGGAACUGAGACACGGUCCAGACUCCUACGGGAGGCAGCAGUAGGGAAUAUUCCGCAAUGGGCGAAAGCCUGACGGAGCAACGCCGCGUGAGUGAUGAAGGUCUUCGGAUCGUAAAACUCUGUUAUUAGGGAAGAACAUAUGUGUAAGUAACUGUGCACAUCUUGACGGUACCUAAUCAGAAAGCCACGGCUAACUACGUG
rnacentral:rRNA from 1 species